rnacentral:rRNA from 1 species
AACAAAAUUUUUACUUAAAGAAAUUAUUAGAUUGAAAAAUUUAUUAAAAUAAUAAAAUUUGAUUACUUGAUUUUGAAAAAAUUCUUUAUUGUUAUAGCUGAAUUGUAUUGUGAAAGAAAAUUUUUUAAUUGUCGUUAAGAAAAAUUAAUUUUUUGUACCUUGUGUAUCAGGGUUAAUUGAUGAAUUUUCAUAAAUAUUGUUUAUCCCGAAUCUUGAAGAGUUAAUUUUAUAUUUUUAUAGUGUUUCAUAAUUGUUAUGAAUAUAGAAUUGGUAGCGAAAUGUUAUUCGUUUUUUGAUAUAUCUGGUUGAUGAGGAAAUAAAUUGAAUUUUUUAGUUUUUAGUAUCUAAUUAAUUGAUUAAUUAGAUUUUGAAAUCUAGUAAUGUUAUUCGGGAAAAGCUGUGUAACAAACUAUUAUUUGAGGUGGUAGAAAUAAUAUAUUAAUAGGAUUGAAAUUGUCUAUUUUGUUUAAAAUUUUAUAGUUAUUUUAUUGAUUAAUAAAAUUUGUAUUUUCAAUAAUUUUUUUACUUAAUUGCUAAACAUAAUUUUAUUGUUUAGGUGAUAAUGAUUAAAUUAGUAUAUAAAUUUGUAUUAUCUAUAGAUAGCUGCUAGAUGUAGGUAAGGAAUUCGGCAAAUUUAUUUUUCACCUGUUUAUUAAAAACAUGGCUUUUUGAUUAUUAUUUAAGGUCAGGCCUGCUCAAUGAUUAAAUUAAAUAGCCGCAGUAUCUUGACUGUGCUAAGGUAGCAUAAUCAUUAGUCUCUUGAUUGGAGGCUGGUAUGAAAGGUUUUAUGAGAAAAUAACUGUCUCUUUUAUAUAAAUAGAAUUUUACUUUUGAGUUAAAAGGCUUAAAUUUAUUUAAAAGACGAGAAGACCCUAUAGAGUUUUAUAUUUUAAAAUUAGUUUUUUGUGAAGUUUUAAAUAAAUGUUUCUUUUUUAAAUUAUUUGAUUGGGGUGAUUGAGUAAUUAAUUAAACUUUUUUUAGGUGUUUAGACAUUGAUUAUUGGUUUGUUUGAUCCGAGAGUUUUCGAUUGAAAGAUUAAAUUACCUUAGGGAUAACAGCGUAAUUUUUUUUGAGAGUUCAAAUCGAUAAAAGAGAUUGCGACCUCGAUGUUGGAUUAAAAUAAACUUUUGGGCGCAAAAGUCUAAUAGUUAGGUCUGUUCGACCUUUAAAAUUUUACAUGAUCUGAGUUUAAACCGGCGUGAGCCAGGUUGGUUUCUAUCUUUAAUUAUACGAAAAAUUUUAGUACGAAAGGACCAAGUUUUUAAUUAAAAAUUUUGUUUUGAAAAUUAUU